AUGUUCAAGUACUAUUAUAUUGCCAAUAGGAUGUUCCAUAGUGAGGAUGAAGGUUAUAGAUUCUAUAACUAAUAUGCUCUUCAGAAAAAAUUUAGUGUGAGGAGAAGCUAUGUUGAGUGGGAUGGAUCCAACAAUCAUAUAAUUUUAAGGACAAUUGUGUGUAGUCUUGAAGGGUUUCGUGAAGAGAAGCACAUGAAGAGGAAGAUGGAAGAUAGAAAGUGGAGGCCACGAAGUAUAACUCGUAUAGGGUGUAAAGCUAAAUUGGUAAUUGCAAGACAGGAGGAAACAGGUCGGUGGUUUGUGAACGAUUUCAUCGAUGAACACAACGAUCCUCUAGACUCACUGGUUCUUUUCUGUCUUUUGCAUUCACCCAUACGAAUUAGCUAUGAGCAGAAAGUGGACAUUGCAGACAUGGAAAAAAUUGAGAUCCGCAAACACCAUAUUAUAGAUAUUUUGUGGAUGCAAUACGGUGGAUAUUAUCAGGUUGGAUGCCUAAGGAGGGACAUUUACAAUUUUUGCCAUGCUAGUAAACAGGAAUCAAUCACUGCUGGUGAUGCUCAAACGGUGAUCAGUCACAUGAUGGCGUGUCGAGAGCUAGAUCCAUAUUUUUUAUUCAAGUAA
rnacentral:rRNA from 1 species